rnacentral:rRNA from 1 species
AAUCUUUGAACGCACAUUGCGCCCCUGGGUAUUCCUGGGGGCAUGCCUGUUCGAGCGUCAUU